UACGAAGGGGGCUAGCGUUGCUCGGAAUUACUGGGCGUAAAGCGUACGUAGGCGGCUUUCUAAGUCGGGGGUGAAAUCCUGGAGCUCAACUCCAGAACUGCCUUCGAUACUGGAGAGCUUGAGUCCGGGAGAGGUGAGUGGAACUGCGAGUGUAGAGGUGAAAUUCGUAGAUAUUCGCAAGAACACCAGUGGCGAAGGCGGCUCACUGGCCCGGUACUGACGCUGAGACGCGAAAGCGUGGGGAGCGAACAGG
rnacentral:rRNA from 1 species